GACGAACGCUGGCGGCGUGCUUAACACAUGCAAGUCGAACGGUAAGGCCCUUCGGGGUACACGAGUGGCGAACGGGUGAGUAACACGUGGGUGAUCUGCCCUGCACUUCGGGAUAAGCCUGGGAAACUGGGUCUAAUACCGGAUAGGACCACUGCCUGCAUGGGUGGUGGUGGAAAGCUUUUGCGGUGUGGGAUGGGCCCGCGGCCUAUCAGCUUGUUGGUGGGGUGAUGGCCUACCAAGGCGACGACGGGUAGCCGGCCUGAGAGGGUGACCGGCCACACGGGGACUGAGGUACGGCCCAGACUCCUACGGGAGGCAGCAGUGGAGAAUGUUGCACAAGGGGCGCAAGCCUGAUGCAGCGACGCCGCGUGAGGGAUGACGGCCUUCGGGUGGUAAACCUCUUUCAGCACCGACGAAGCGCAAGUGACGGUAGGUGCAGAAGAAGGACCGGCCAACUACGUGCCAGCCGCCGCAGUAA
rnacentral:rRNA from 1 species